rnacentral:rRNA from 1 species
ACCUGAAGAAAAAGCAUCGGCUAACUCCGUGCCAGCAGCCGCGGUAAUACGGAGGAUGCAAGCGUUAUCCGGAAUUAUUGGGSGUAAAGGGUCCGUAGGUGGUACCUCAAGUCGGCUGUUAAAGACCAGGGCUUAACUUCUGGGCAGGCAGUGGAAACUGAGGAACUAGAGGGCAGUAGGGGUAGAGGGAAUUCCCGGUGUAGCGGUGAAAUGCGUAGAUUUCGGGAAGAACAUCGGUGGCGAAG